GAUGAAGAACGUAGCGAAAUGCGAUAAGUAGUGUGAAUUGCAGAAUUCAGUGAAUCAUCGAAUCUUUGAACGCACAUUGCGCCCCUUGGUAUUCCGGGGGGCAUGCCUGUUCGAGCGUCAUUAUAACCCUCAAGCCUAGCUUGGUGUUGGAGCAUGCUACCUAAGCAGCUCUUAAAAUCAGUGGCAGUGCCCUUCGGCUCUAAGCGUAGUAACUUCUCUCGCUAUGGAACCCGGAGGGUACGCGCCAGAACCCCCAACUUUCUAUGGUUGACCUCGGAUCAGGUAGGGAUACCCGCUGAACUUAAGCAUAUCAAUAAGCGGAGGA
rnacentral:misc_RNA from 1 species